ensembl:processed_transcript 5730412P04Rik RIKEN cDNA 5730412P04 gene
AUGAAGACCAAGGUGAUCUGGCGAGAACAGCAGGAUCCCAGUUACAGGAAAAUGCUUAGUUAACCUGUUGGACUUCUUUGGCUAAUAAUCGGCUUCCCAUCUCAACAUCUCUAAUGAAUAUGUGUUUUCAUGUGGGUUGGAAGGAACCAGUAUUUUAGUUUAGUUUAGUUUUGCAGUUUUGUUUUGUUUUGAUUUGAUUUGUUCUGAGAAAUGCAGGGGCACAGAAGGGAGGGCUACAAAGAGACAAUUACAUUUUCUAAAACAUCUGAUCUCCACACUAUCAUCAUUAAUCCCCAGGAAAGGAGGUUUCCUGUUCUGUAGUACUAGCCCCUCUGACCUUCCUAAUGCCCUGGACCUCUGUCUGGAGAUGAAACCUAGAACUUACUCAGUCUGUGAAGGUGUUGUACCACUGAUCUGAAUCCCUGGACCCUGGGUCACCAACAAGAGGUCUCCUAACAUAGCUCAGGCUGGGCUUUCAUUCACAUCAAGUUCCAGCCUCCUGAUUGAGGAGCUUUUCCAGACCUUUUCUGACUCCAGCCAGACCUGAUAUAAGCCCCCUCUGGUACAAGUUAAAAUGGCCACAAGCCUGGAUCCAUGCUGAAAAUAUAAGGAGAGAAACACAAGGAAACCUGAAAUCAACCCUGACAGCACAAAGUGUCUGCACACAUUUGCUGCAACACUGCCACCAGCCAUUCCAGCUACUCAAGCUCUCAGGAUACUAGUUCUAAAAUAGAGGUAGACAAGGAAUGUGUGUUCCUGAGGGCUAGAACUUGUCCAAGAUAAGGCAAUCCUCCUAAGAAUCUCAACCUGAAACAUUCCGAUGUCUGCACAGUACUGCAAUCCUAGUCAGACAAUCUGUCUCUGCAAACACAGCUUCUUCAGAAGGCUUCACACACAAACCCUGGACAUUUUAAACAUUUCCAACCUCCUCGAAAGUGUGGUAUCUCUAAGUAGACCUGUCAACACCCCUGUUACAGGAUUAAUGGCAACAGGAAGGAUGUAAAGGAUACAUUUAUAAAGUCUAAUUCAUUUUCUACACCCGGUCCUCUAAUGCAAUCCUCAGAACACAGCAGGGGUGGCAGUUAUCUUCAGUACUAUUCAGUUAUCCCACCAGAACUUGAAUUUAAAACUAGGAACCCAAAUAAAUCCACA